rnacentral:rRNA from 1 species
GAUGAACGCUAGCUACAGGCUUAACACAUGCAAGUCGAGGGGCAGCAUGAUUGAAGCUUGCUUCAAUCGAUGGCGACCGGCGCACGGGUGAGUAACACGUAUCCAACCUGCCGAUAACUCGGGGAUAGCCUUUCGAAAGAAAGAUUAAUACCCGAUAGUAUAGUAUUUCCGCAUGGUUUCACUAUUAAAGAACUUCGGUUAUCGAUGGGGAUGCGUUCCAUUAGAUAGUUGGCGGGGUAACGGCCCACCAAGUCAACGAUGGAUAGGGGUUCUGAGAGGAAGGUCCCCCACAUUGGAACUGAGACACGGUCCAAACUCCUACGGGAGGCAGCAGUGAGGAAUAUUGGUCAAUGGACGAGAGUCUGAACCAGCCAAGUAGCGUGAAGGAUGACUGCCCUAUGGGUUGUAAACUUCUUUUAUACGGGAAUAAAGCGGAGUAUGCAUACUCCUUUGUAUGUACCGUAUGAAUAAGGAUCGGCUAACUCCGUG